rnacentral:rRNA from 1 species
UUACCUCAGUAACGGCGAGUGAAGCGGUAACAGCUCAAAUUUGAAAGCUGGCUCCUCUAGGGCCCGCGUUGUAAUUUGCAGAAGAUGCUUCGGGUGUGGCCCCGGUCUAAGUUCCUUGGAACAGGACGUCAUAGAGGGUGAGAAUCCCGUAUGUGACUGGGCGCCUCCGCCCAUGUGAAGCUCUUUCGACGAGUCGAGUUGUUUGGGAAUGCAGCUCAAAAUGGGUGGUAAAUUUCAUCUAAAGCUAAAUAUUGGCCAGAGACCGAUAGCGCACAAGUAGAGUGAUCGAAAGAUGAAAAGCACUUUGGAAAGAGAGUUAAACAGUACGUGAAAUUGUUGAAAGGGAAGCGCUUGCAACCAGACUUGCGCGUGGGUGAUCAUCCGGGCUUCUGCCCGGUGCACUCGCCCGCGCUCAGGCCAGCAUCGGUUUCGGUGGUGGGAUAAAGGCCUUGGGAACGUAGCUCCCCUCGGGGAGUGUUAUAGCCCUCGGUGCAAUGCCGCCCACCGGGACCGAGGACCGCGCUUCGGCUAGGAUGCUGGCGUAAUGGUUGUAAGCGACCCGUCUUGAAACACGGACCAAGGAGUCUAACAUCUAUGCGAGUGUUUGGGUGUCAAACCCAUACGCGUAAUGAAAGUGAACGGAGGUGAGAACCCUGAAGGGUGCAUCAUCGACCGAUCCUGAUGUCUUCGGAUGGAUUUGAGUAAGAGCAUAGCUGUUGGGACCCGAAAGAUGGUGAACUAUGCGUGAAUAGGGUGAAGCCAGAGGAAACUCUGGUGGAGGCUCGCAGCGGUUCUGACGUGCAAAUCGAUCGUCAAAUUUGCGUAUAGGGGCGAAAGACUAAUCGAACCAUCUAGUAGCUGGUUUCCUGCCGAAG